rnacentral:tRNA from 1 species
GGGAAUGUGGCUUAGUGGUAGAGCACUUGCCUUGCAUGCAUGAGGCCCUGGGUUUGAUUCCUCAGCACCA